GAUGAACGCUGGCGGCGUGCUUAACACAUGCAAGUCGAACGGUGAACACGGAGCUUGCUCUGUGGGAUCAGUGGCGAACGGGUGAGUAACACGUGAGCAACCUGCCCCUGACUCUGGGAUAAGCGCUGGAAACGGCGUCUAAUACUGGAUAUGUGACGUGACCGCAUGGUCUGCGUUUGGAAAGAUUUUUCGGUUGGGGAUGGGCUCGCGGCCUAUCAGCUUGUUGGUGAGGUAAUGGCUCACCAAGGCGUCGACGGGUAGCCGGCCUGAGAGGGUGACCGGCCACACUGGGACUGAGACACGGCCCAGACUCCUACGGGAGGCAGCAGUGGGGAAUAUUGCACAAUGGGCGCAAGCCUGAUGCAGCAACGCCGCGUGAGGGAUGACGGCCUUCGGGUUGUAAACCUCUUUUAGCAGGGAAGAAGCGAAAGUGACGGUACCUGCAGAAAGAGCGCCGGCUAACUACGU
rnacentral:rRNA from 1 species